rnacentral:rRNA from 1 species
UACGUAGGGGGCUAGCGUUGUCCGGAAUCAUUGGGCGUAAAGCGCGUGUAGGCGGCCCGGUAAGUCCGCUGUGAAAGUCGGGGGCUCAACCCUCGGAUGCCGGUGGAUACUGUCGGGCUCGAGUACGGAAGAGGCGAGUGGAAUUCCUGGUGUAGCGGUGAAAUGCGCAGAUAUCAGGAAGAACACCCGUGGCGAAGGCGGCUUUCUGGGACGGUACUGACGCUGAGACGCGAAAGCGUGGGGAGCAAACAGG